UGCAGCCGGGGAGAUAGCGGUGCCCUGUACCUGCAACCCGCUAUAGCAGGGGUGAUGGAUUGUUGCGGCUCCAUUUUGCAGGGCAGCCCUUUGAAAGUGGCGUUGACGCCGGGGUCCUGCGCAACGGGAUACCAUGAACCGUGUCAGGGUAGGAAUACAGCAGCACUAAGUGGAGCGUUUCGUGUGCCGCGGGGAAGCCUUAGCCGAGUUAACUACAGAGGUAACGCCUGUGAUGU
rnacentral:SRP_RNA from 1 species